rnacentral:rRNA from 1 species
UGGGGAAUCUUGCGCAAUGGGCGAAAGCCUGACGCAGCCAUGCCGCGUGAAUGAUGAAGGUCUUAGGAUUGUAAAAUUCUUUCACCGGGGACGAUAAUGACGGUACCCGGAGAAGAAGCCCCGGCUAACUUCGUGCCAGCAGCCGCGGUAAUACGAAGGGGGCUAGCGUUGCUCGGAAUUACUGGGCGUAAAGGGAGCGUAGGCGGACAUUUAAGUCAGGGGUGAAAUCCCGGGGCUCAACCUCGGAAUUGCCUUUGAUACUGGGUGUCUUGAGUGUGAGAGAGGUAUGUGGAACUCCGAGUGUAGAGGUGAAAUUCGUAGAUAUUCGGAAGAACACCAGUGGCGAAGGCGACAUACUGGCUCAUUACUGACGCUGAGGCUCGAAAGCGUGGGGAGCAAACAGGAUUAGAUACCCUGGUAGUCCACGCCGUAAACGAUGAUUGCUAGUUGUCGGGAUGCAUGCAUUUCGGUGACGCAGCUAACGCAUUAAGCAAUCCGCCUGGGGAGUACGGUCGCAAGAUU